UACGUAGGGGGCGAGCGUUGUCCGGAUUUAUUGGGCGUAAAGAGCGUGUAGGCGGCCAGGUAGGUCUGCUGUGAAAACUCGAGGCUCAACCUCGAGACGUCGGCGGAAACCGUCUGGCUAGAGUCCGGAAGAGGAGAGUGGAAUUCCUGGUGUAGCGGUGAAAUGCGCAGAUAUCAGGAAGAACACCCGUGGCUAAGGCGGCUCUCUAGUACGGUACUGACGCUGAGACGCGAAAGCGUGGGGAGCGAACAGG
rnacentral:rRNA from 1 species